rnacentral:rRNA from 1 species
AUUGAACGCUGGCGGCAGGCUUAACACAUGCAAGUCGAGCGGAGAUGAGGUGCUUGCACCUUAUCUUAGCGGCGGACGGGUGAGUAAUGCUUAGGAAUCUGCCUAUUAGUGGGGGACAACAUUCCGAAAGGAAUGCUAAUACCGCAUACGUCCUACGGGAGAAAGCAGGGGAUCUUCGGACCUUGCGCUAAUAGAUGAGCCUAAGUCGGAUUAGCUAGUUGGUGGGGUAAAGGCCUACCAAGGCGACGAUCUGUAGCGGGUCUGAGAGGAUGAUCCGCCACACUGGGACUGAGACGCGGCCCAGACUCCUACGGGAGGCAGCAGUGGGGAAUAUUGGACAAUGGGGGGAACCCUGAUCCAGCCAUGCCGCGUGUGUGAAGAAGGCCUUAUGGUUGUAAAGCACUUUUAGCGAGGAGGAGGCUACUGAGACUAAUACUCUUGGAUAGUGGACGUUACUCGCAGAACAAGCACCGGCUAACUCUGUGCCAGCCGCCGCCGUAAGAC